rnacentral:lncRNA from 1 species
AUGUACAACCCUAGUUAAGACCAAAAGAUUUUAGCCCAUAAAUAUUCACAUCAUUUAAAUCAUUUGAGAGAAAUAAAUAAACCCACCACACCUAGGUCAAAAGUGGAAUCUAAUUUUGGACCAAGGCAAGUAGUUUAGCCAACCAUUAAUGGUAUAGAGUUCAUCAUUAAUGGUGGAUCUACUACAAACAAGGUAAACUAAGAGUAAAAAAUAAAAACAAAAGAAAUAUGAAAAAUGUAAGGAGCACACAAGUAGCUAAGAGUAAAUAAAAAUGCAUCAAAUUAGCAAUAAGAAGUACUUAUAAACUUCAAUAAGCAAAUAAGAGUGAAAUAUUUGAAGGCCAAACACAUUAAAUACAUAACCUCACUUUUUCUUCUCUUUCUCUUUCUACAAUAACUCUAGAUCUAAAAAUGGGGGCUAAACCUAAAACCAAAGAUGUGGUGCAAUCUCAGAAAAAUUGUUUAAAUAGAUCCCAAAAAAAGUCAUAAUGAAAACACAAAAAUAUCCCUAAAAGUUGUGUAGAGAAACUGAAAAAAUUCUGUUUUUAGCCUUCACUACUUGUAGUACUGAAUCUAUUACCGGUAGUUCUUCAGUCUCGAGCUCACUAGAUGCUCGAUCUACCGGUAGUCUUGAAAUCACUAUCGGUAGUGCUUGAACUUGGAAGCAUUGAAUGGCCUUUAGAAGUGUGUACUAUUGGUAGUUCUCAAAUCCUUUAGCGGUAGUGAAUUAUUUGAUUUUACCUCUGGAUUGCCCUGUAUACCGGUAUUGAUGAAUCCACUACCGGUAGUGAAUUAUGGACUUUUGCCUCCGGAUUGUGUACUACCGGUAGUUCUCAAAGCCACUACCGGUAGUCACCUACUGGACUUCCUAGUUCUCACUAUUAGGUUCCACAUUUCCACUCCGGGCCUCUCCUUGCCAUUUGUCUUCAACAUAGUCUCUUCGGCAUAUGCAAACAUGGUUAUAAAGACAUCUUUAACAUCAAAGUUCCUACACAACUCACAAAAACAACUUGCAUACAAAAAUAGAUUAACUCGAAUACUUUAACUGUGCAAUUAUACAAAAAUGAGGAAAAAUGUAUCGAUUAUAUGCACUAUUGUGUGUUAAUCACACUUCCUAACUUGGACUUUGCUAGUCCCUAGCAAAAAUAACUUCUAACAAGAUUUUGGAUUCAUCACCGGGAGCGGGGCUUAUUAACUCAACAAGUCUUCAAGCAGCCGUAUGAUUUUAAAAUGAUGCAAAACUUUGAAUAUGUUUAUACGUGAACUCAUUCACACUCUUGCAAUCAAUCAAUCAUCAAAACUCAAUUAAGUAAGAUCAUACAAUAGAAUUUUAAUAUUCAAGGCGAGCUUCAACUUUAAUUCUUACAAAAGGAUGUUUACUCUCAAUCGAAAAUCACUCCCAACAUAUCAAACAUGUGAUUGGUUUGUAUAUUUGAUCAAAAUGUACAUGCGUGUUCAAUCAAUGAAAUGGCAAACACAAAAAUGAUUAUUCAUUGUUCAAGAGAGAACAAAUAAACAACAAACACGGCAUAAACAAGAUCAAAGGAUAAAGAUGUUCAUUUCAUAGAUAAAAGCAUAUUCGAGUUAACAAGGACUUUUAAGCUUUUAAUGACCUUGGUUAACAAUGAAAAGGGUUGGACAACUCAAAAUGGAUGUCGGCUUGUGAUUUGCUUGGACACUACCCAAAAGAACCGACAUCCUAACCCGACUAACGCAACAACAAAAAUAACAUAGCACGAAAACAAAGAAAGGAAAACUACCUAAAUGAUUACCAUCUUACGACCACAACCGAGAGGCCCACGACUUCCUCUUCCUCACUCUCCUCCUUUUCAUCGCCUUUCUAUUCAUGGCCUUCCUCUUUCUCCUCCUCGGACUCAGACUCAGACCCGGUUUUGUAUUUUUCAUCUCCCAACUUUUCUAGUUCCGUCACACAGAAAUCCACCCGACGCCUCAAAAGUUUGUAGUCCUUUUAUUCAUCAGCUAUGUCAUUUUGUUGGCACAAAAGAAUUCGGAACCAUUCAUCCAUCUGAUGUCUUGAGGUCUUUGGCCUUGGGCUCUUGGGUGGUUGUGGAAAUUGUCGCGCCCCGCGACAUUGAUCGACUUUUUGCAUCUGACCCCGCAGUGAUUGGGCCAACCACUAGAGGUAUCAUUUUGUCGGAAGUCACCAUUUUUUCCUUAGCAUUUAUGCACAAAUUGGUGAUUAUUUUCCCGAAAGGCAUGUUCCACUGGCUUGUAAUAGUCCUAAAUUCUUGAAUUAUCUCCCACAUAUACCCCGCCACAUCAAAAUGCAUACCUGACAUCAUAAUAUGCAAAAACUCUAUGUUGGUUAUGCCGGAUUGUUUCUCAGAUCCCCUCAGGUGGAGGUUGUAAUGGAUGAUUUUAUUCAUGAUUCUAUACUUGUCCUUCAACAUACCCGUGGAAAAUCUACCCCUAAAUUUGCUUGGGUCAGCGCAAACAAUUUUCGCAUAUUAUUCGGGGCAAAGGCGAGCACAAUGAGGAUG